CCCUCCUCCUCCUCCUCCCCCUCUUCUUUCUCCUUUUUCUUUUCCUUCUUUGCCUCCUCUUUUUCUUCCUGUCCCUCAUUCUUCUCGUCCUUCUUUGUUUCUUCUCUUUCUCCUCCUCCUCCUCCUACUUCCUCUUCUUCUUCUUCUUCUUCCUCUUCUUCCUCAACUUUUUUCUUGGAUUUACCAUCAUUGUCAUCCUCACUGUCAAAUGAGGAUGCAUAUGAUUUAGACUCAGAGUCAGAUGAGUCAAAAUCAUAAAAUAUUACUCCACGAUUAUUCUUUUCCAAAAUCCGAUAAAUUUUUUUGCAAUUUCUCUUUAAUAACUUGAUCUUUGCUUUCAAGGUCAAG
rnacentral:lncRNA from 1 species